GUCAGUGUGGCAUAGUGGUUUGAGUGAAAAACUGCAACUCUGGAGACCAGGGUUCAAUUCCUCGCUCAGUCA